CCUACGGGUGGCAGCAGUGAGGAAUAUUGGUCAAUGGGCUUACGCCUGAACCAGCCAAGUCGCGUGAGGGAAGACUGCCCUAUGGGUUGUAAACCUCUUUUGUCAGGGAGCAAUUGGCGCUACGUGUAGCGUUAUCGAGAGUACCUGAAGAAAAAGCAUCGGCUAACUCCGUGCCAGCAGCCGCGGUAAUACGGAGGAUGCGAGCGUUAUCCGGAUUUAUUGGGUUUAAAGGGUGCGUAGGCGGAAUGCCAAGUCAGCGGUAAAAUCGCGGGGCUCAACCUCGCUCCGCCGUUGAAACUGGCGUUCUUGAGUGGGCGAGAAGUAUGUGGAAUGCGUGGUGUAGCGGUGAAAUGCAUAGAUAUCACGCAGAACUCCGAUUGCGAAGGCAGCUUGCUGCAGCGGAACUGACGCUGAUGCUCGAAAGCGCGGGUAUCGAACAGGAUUAGAUACCCCAGUAGUC
rnacentral:rRNA from 1 species